AAAAUAAAGACAACAUUAAAGAGAACAACAAUAAAGAACCAGGUACAAAAUAAAAGGUAAAUGGUGUUCUUGGUUGGUUCGUUCCUUUCUUCUCUUCUUCUUUCGCGCUUCCACUUCAUUUCAUUGCAAAGAAGCGAGAAGAAA
rnacentral:ribozyme from 1 species